UGCAGAAAAACCGGUUGAAGGCAUUGACACACGGUGGUACAUUCAGAGCAAUGGAUGAAAGCUAACUGCUGUGACCCCGGCAUCAGUCACCAUCAGCCCACAGACGGCCUCUCAUUUGACCGUCUGAGGAAUUCACCAGCCUAUUCAACGCCGGAGCUGCUGUAAGACUACACUGCUGUCAUCCAAAUCAACGCAUUUCCUCUAUCUGGACUCGACACGACUGCGGCAAGCGUGGACCCCGGCCCGGUCUUUCCUUCCCUCCCAAGGGGCUGUAAUCAUUGCCAUGCUGGUGUCCUGGACUCCAUGCUUUGCAUAUUUCUUUGGAAUACCUGAGCCAAACAGGUGUGUGACGUAAGGUAGCCGAGCUGUCACACCUGUGGAGGGAUGGUUUCGGAUUGAAAGCACUGGAGGCGAUGGGAGUAAUGGUGUAUGAUGGGAAAAUGUUCUGCAGACCUGUGAGCACCAACGCUCACGGAAGAAGGGAUCAAAUGUCAAGGUGUGCCUGUGUAGAGAUUUGUGCUUUUGUACAUAUACAUUCAAAGAUGUCUUACAUAUGCUUUGUCUUUUGUCUUUGUCAGUGUUUCAUUAAACAGAAUAACGCAUGAGCUGUUGUUCUCAUUCAGAGCUUGAUUGCAGUCAUUAUUUUACCGUUGCUCUAUUCAAGCUGCAUGGAACGGGGGCUUUAACUUUGGUCUUGCAUGAGUCCACCUCGUCCAUGAUGUGUCC
ensembl:lncRNA